rnacentral:rRNA from 1 species
AGCAGCCGCGGUAAUUCCAGCUCCAAUAGCGUAUAUUAAAGUUGCUGCAGUUAAAAAGCUCGUAGUUGAAUUUCGGGACCAUCACGUCGGUCGUGCCUCGGUACGUACUGGCGUCGUUGGUUUCUCCCUUCUGACGAACCAUGAUGUCAUUUAUUUGGUGUCGUGGGGAAUCAGGACUGUUACUUUGAAAAAAUUAGAGUGUUUAAAGCAGGCUCACGCUUGAAUACAUUAGCAUGGAAUAAUGAAAUAGGACGUUUGAUUCUAUUUUGUUGGUUUCUAGGAUCGACGUAAUGAUUAAUAGGGAUAGUUGGGGGCAUUAGUAUUCAAUUGUCAGAGGUGAAAUUCUUGGAUUUAUUGAAGACUAACUACUGCGAAAGCAUUUGCCAAGGAUGUUUUCAUUAAUCAAGAACGAAAGUUAGGGGAUCGAAGACGAUCAGAUACCGUCGUAGUCUUAACCAUAAACUAUGCCGACUAGGGAUCGGAUGAUGUUAAUUUUUUAAUGACUCAUUCGGCGCCUUACG